CUCCUGCCCCUUUGCCCCCCCUUCCUCUUGCUCCCUCCAUUCAUCCAUUCCUUCUUCCAGUCAGUCCUCGCUCCCUCCCUCCCUCGCUCCCUCCCACCAGCCAUCCAUUCCUCCCUCCCUCGCUCCCUCUAGUCAGUCAAAACAACUAAGAAAAUUACAGCACAGGAACAGGUCCUUCAGCCCUCCAAGCCUGCGCCGAUCAAGAUCCUCUGUCUCACCUGUCACCUAUUUUCUCACGGUCUGUGUCCAUUUGCUCCCUGCCCAUCCACGUGCCUGUCCAAAUAUAUCUUAAAAGACGCUAACGUGUCUGCGUCUCCCACCUCCGCUGGCAACACGUUCCAGGUGCCCACCAACCUCUGUGUAAAGAACUUUCCAUGCAUAUGUCCCUUAAACUUUGCUCCUCUCACUUUGAACUCAUGACCCCUCGUAAUUGAGUCCUCCACUCUGGGGGUAAAAAGCUUUUUGCUGUUCACCCUGUCUAUACCCUCAUGAUUUUGUGGACCUCAAUCAGGUCCCCCCCAAUCUCCAUCUUUCUCAUGAAAAUAAUCCUAGUCUACUCAACCUCUCUUCAUGGCGAGCACCCUCCAUACAAGGCAGCAUCCUGGUGAACCUCCUCUGCACCCUCUCCAAAGCAUCCACAUCCUUUUGGUAAUGUGGCGACUGGAACUGUGCACAGUAGUCCAAAUGUGGCCAAACCAAAGUCCGAUACAACUGCAACAUGACCUUGGCAAGUCUUGUACUCAAUACCCCAUCCAAUGAAGGAAAGUAUGCCAUAUGCCUUCGAGACCACCCUAUUGACCUGCGUUGUCACCUUCAGGGAACAAUGGACCUGAACACCCAGAUCUCUCUGUUCAUCAAUUUUCCCCAAGACUUUUCCAUUUACUGUAUAGUUCGUCCUUGAAUUUGAUCUUCCAAAAUGCAUCACCCUGCAUUUGCCCGGAUUGAACUCCAUCUGCCAUUUAUCUGCCCAACUCUCCAGUCUACCUAUGUUCUGCUGUAACCUCUGAUAGUCCCCUUCACUAUCGGCUUCUCCAUUCCUCCCUUGUAGUGCGAUUAGGCAAGACUAAGGAGGCAUAGAAUGGGUUAGCAAAAUGCAGGGCAAUGGGGACAAUUGAAUUGUGGAGCUGGUUUAAGGAGCAGAUAUUGCGUGUCCUUGAUAGGUACGUCCCUGUUAGGCAGGGAGGAAGCGAUCAGCUAAGGGAACCGUGGUUUACUAAAAAAAUUGUAUCUCUUGUUAAGCAGAAGAGGGAGGCUGAUGUGACGAUGAGACCAGAUGGUUCACAUGAGGUGAUGGAGAGCUACAGAUUAGUUAGGAAGGAUUUAAAGAGAGAGUUAAGAAGAGCAAGGAGGGUACACGAGCAGACACUGGCAGUCUUUUCCAGUCCCAUGCUGAGUAUUGUUAUCCCAAUAGUUCUUUAAUGUCAGUGUGUGUGUAUUCCUGGGCGACUAUGCUCGUGUGGUCUACGGAGUUGUGGAGGUCACAGUUCUAGGACAGCCAUUUCAUAGGCCUCUGCUGCAGAAUCUACCCCGGAAGAGAGAGCCCAGAGAAUUGCCAAAGCUGUCUGCAAGCAGUCAAUUGACGUGAAGGAAAAUUGGGAGCAAUUGAAAACCCAUGCGAGCAACUGGCAGAACAAGGUGGAAAAGGCGUUAGAGAAACUUCAAGAACUGCAGAAAGCUCUGGAUGAUCUUGAGUCUCAUGUGAUAACAGCUGAGGGGGUCCACAUUGAUUGGCAACCUGUGAAUGACCUGUUUAUUGACGCAUUGCAGGAUCACAUGGAUAAAACCACAGUUAAGGACUGCCUGCAAAAUCUGAGAUUGGGUUUUGAAACACAUCAACCUUUGCUUGCGAGAGAUAAUGGUAACUGCAGAUGCUAGAGAAUGCGAGAUAACAAUGUGUGGAGCUGGAUGAACACAGCAGGCCAAGCAGCAUCUCAGGAGCACAAAAGUUGACAUUUCGGGCCUCGACCCUUCAUGCGAGAGAACGUAACGUUUUUAAAGAAGAAAUUGCCCCAGUCAAACAAGAAGUCAAAAUAUUAAAUGAUCUGGGAUGUCAGUUAUCUCCGCUUGAUGUCUCUUUCUCUCCAAAGAUUUCUCACCAGCUUGAUGACCUAAAUAUGAGGUUGAAAUUUAUACAGCAGCAGGAGGUGAGGAGGCAGAGACUGCAACCCUGAGGUCACGGAGGGAAGGAAAAGAGGCUCUUACUUGGAGAUUGAGAAGCAGGAGAGGGCACAACCCAGAGGUUUGGGAGUGGAGAGAGGCUGCAAGUUGGAGGUCAAGGUGAUUUAAACACCGUGCGUUUUUCUGCAUAUCGGCCAGCAAUGAAGAUCCGCCGACUCCAGAAAGCACUCUGUUACCACAUCAGGUGAAGAUGUGUGUGAUUUCACCAAGGUGCUGAAAAAUAACUUCAGAUCAAAGAAAUACUUUGCCAAACAUCCUCGCUUGGGUUAUUUACCACUACAAACAGUCCUAGAAGG